AUGUGGGCACCUGAUAUCUAUGAGGGUUCACCCACCCCGGUUACAGCAUUCCUUUCUAUUGCGCCUAAAAUUUCUAUUUUUGCUAAUAUUUCACGUGUUUCUAUUUAUGGUUCCUAUGGAGCUACAUUGCAACAAAUCUUCUGUUUCUGCAGCAUUGCUUCUAUGAUUUUAGGAGCGCUGGCCGCCAUGGCCCAAACGAAAGUAAAAAGACCUCUAGCUCAUAGUUCAAUUGGACAUGUAGGUUAUAUUCGUACUGGGUUCUCAUGUGGAACCAUAGAAGGAAUUCAAUCACUACUAAUUGGUAUCUUUAUUUAUGCAUUAAUGACGAUAGAUGCAUUCGCCAUAGUUUUAGCAUUACGGCAAACCCGUGUCAAAUAUAUAGCAGAUUUGGGCGCUCUAGCCAAAACGAAUCCUAUUUCGGCUAUAACCUUCUCCAUUACUAUGUUCUCAUACGUAGGAAUACCCCCGUUAGCCGGCUUUUGUAGCAAAUUCUAUUUGUUCUUCGCC